CUAAGGUUCUAUCUGAAACUCAAAUCACGUGAUUAAAUAACUGUUGGAUGUUACUAGGUUGUUAGGAUAUUAAUCGUAUUUAAAACUAUUGCCUCGUAUAAGGUUGAGCCUGGUGAUAUUAACCUUCUAUAGCAUCAUCAUUGGAAAGAGUAACAUUUGUCAGCUUGGUAUAUAAUAACAUGGCAUGCAUACAUUACAAGAAGUGCUUACAUCCAAAUUGUAUACAAACCUCAUUUUCUACCAGGGUAAAAAUUCAUAACAUCUUAGUUAGGAGUUAUUUCCUGUCUAUGCAAUUUCUUUUCUAGGUCAAUGUGGUCCCCAAGGAGUAUCCAGUCGAGAUGGAUUGAGCGAGAGUCGGUUGAUGGAUCUCCUGCAUGGUUCGGAGAAUGUACUGACCUAUGAAGAUAAAGACGGUGACUGGAUGCUGGUUGGUGAUGUUCCAUGGAAGAUGUUCACCGAGACUUGUAAGAGGAUGAGGAUCACAAAGAGCUCGGAAGCUAUUGGCCUAGGUAAAGCAGCCAAGUAGAUACAUAAAACAAAUACAGAAGUCCAAAAUUUGUGUGAAGGCCAAAUAUGUAAAGGGUGAUGCUGUAAGCCUCUAAUAAUUCUCAAGUUUAGAUCUCAUGUUUCCACUUCUCUUAACAUGAAAGACUUGUGUAACAAGACAACAUUGUAGCAGCUAGUAGGCAACAUAGAAUAUAUUGUAGUCCUAGGGUUGCAGAUUUUAUAAAUCUGUCUUCUCCUCUAUAUUAUUCUCUUGAUGUAAUGUGAAUUUUUGUUGCUACUUGGAUCA